AGGAGUGCAGAGUCCCUUAAAAUUCACUAAGACUUUUGGUUACUAUUUUCUAGAGACUUCAGACCAGUCCCUGGUUGAGGGUAUCAGAAUUAUCCAGAGAAAGCUUUUUUAAAAAAACAAAUAUUUAGGGAUUCUGAUUCAGUGGGCUUGGAGUGGGAUCUGGGGAGGGCCUCCUAUUUUUUUUUUAACUCCUCAGAUGUUCUGGUGUGUAGCCAGGUUUGGGAAAUGGUGACCUCAUCAGUUCUUCUUAGUGUUUUUAAAUUUUUUUAAGUCAUAAACACUUUUGAGAAGCUGAAGAAAGUUAUCAACACUUUCCCUAGGGAAAAAAAGAUGCUCACCCAGAAAAAAUUUUGCAUACAAUGUCAGGAAGUCUGAAUACCCUCCCUCUGAAGGCCAUCCAAGACCACCCAUUAAAGAACCUUGUCAGUACUUGAUGCUGGAAUCCCAUCUACAAGUGCCAUGAAAAUAGCCUCUGGGGUCUCCCUUGUACUCCUCCAGUGACAGGGGGCUCAUUACCUUUGGAGAAGUUCUAUCCCCUUUUGGGGGGGAGCAUUAGUCUUCAGUAAAGUCCUUUUUGUGGUGAGCAGAAACUGGCUGUCUCUUCUCAAAGCAGCCUUCUCCAGCGCCCCUAGCUUUCACCUGCAAGUCCCACAUUCGUCCUCUGGCUCAUCUUUCUGGUUUUAUUGGGGUUUAGAGGGGAGAGCUGCCGCAGGAGGCCAGGAGAAGCUGAGGGGUGGCCCAGGAUGAGGAGCUGUUCCUCUUGGGAUUUGAGACUUCAGGAGCAGAUUAUUGACCAGAUCCUGGUGAUUCCUGUUCCUGACACUUCAUCUCUUUGUCCUUUUUAGAGACCCCUCUCCGUGAAUCCAGCACGAAAUGUCAAACCUACUUCAUCGUCACAAUCCUCUCCCUGAACCUUUCCCUGUGGCUCUCUCUCUUGGAGUGGCUGACGCCCAAGCUUGGGAGAUGAACUUUUUCAACAUGAGUCAGAGACUCAGUGGGUCCAGUCACAGGGAGUCACAGUGUUGGCUCUAGGAAUGCAUCCUUGAGGAACUUGCAGCCCAGCAAGGAAAACGGAGAGUCAGAAAUGACAUAUGCAGUGCACGUUACAAGAUGGAAAUUGCAGGGGGUCUAAGGAGCCAAUAUUCCACUCUGGGUUUCAGGAACCCCACCCCUGAUCCCAAGUAAGUGAUUUCUUCAGUUGAAAGCUGAAUGUUGAGCAAGGGUUAGCCAGAGUGGAGACAAGAGUGGGGCAAUAUUCCAGGUCGAGGGAGCUUCCAGGAUCAGAGGCUGGAGGAGGGGUGAGGGUGCUCUAAAUUUUCCUAGACCUGAAUUGAGGCCCACACUUCUGGGACCUCAAAGCCCAACGCCAAGUGGUGGAUUGGUGGUUAGGAGGGUACAGGGUCUAGCUUACAUGGGUCUUAGGAGGCAGGGCAAGGAUUUUUUUUUUUUUAACCUUGAGAAUAAUAGGGUUAUAAGAAGUUGAUGAGUUUCACCCCCCCCCCCAAAAAAAAUAGGAUUUGAUUGUAUCAUUCCAGAACUCAGUGGUUACUCCCUUGGUCUCAUCUCCUUCGAGGAAAGCCUGGCCAAUGAAUACCUCUUCUGUGAUCUCCAAACACCCUUUCUGCAUCUUUUCUUCAUCCCAAGACACCAGCAUCUCACCUGCAAAGUAGGUACUAUAUUGUAGAUGCAUAUGGGGAUGACAACACACUUGCUCAGAGAGGUCAUCCGCCAAGGUCAUCCAGCCAGGAAGGGGCAGAGCAAGGAUUUGAACCCCGGUCUAUCUGCUCGGAACCCCGGGCUUUGUCCACCAUGUGUGCAUGGUCAAGAUAAUGACUGACACCUGGAAAUAACCAUCCUCAGCCACGUCCCCAGGUAGAAAAAGCCGUGGUCUGUGGAACUCUCCUUGCAAAUGCUGGAGGGAAAACAAUCUCCCUCUAAAAUGAACAUCUGCAUAGAGCUGGGUUGGGUGGGAGCUCGAGGAGCAGAAGCUCUGUUUGCAUAUUAAGGAGGCAAAGAUGCCAGUGGCUCAUUAAUGAUG
ensembl:lncRNA